GACGAACGCUGGCGGCGUGCUUAACACAUGCAAGUCGAACGGUAAGGCCCUUCGGGGUACACGAGUGGCGAACGGGUGAGUAACGCGUGAGUAACCUGCCCUUCACUCUGGGAUAACAGUUGGAAACGGCUGCUAGUACCGGAUAUUCAGCUCCUGUCGCAUGGUGGGGGUUGGAAAGUUUUGGUGGUGGAGGAUGGGCUCGCGUCCUAUCAGCUUGUUGGUGGGGUGAUGGCCUACCAAGGCGUCGACGGGUAGCCGGCCUGAGAGGGCGACCGGCCACAUUGGGACUGAGAUACGGCCCAAACUCCUACGGGAGGCAGCAGUGGGGAAUAUUGCACAAUGGGCGGAAGCCUGAUGCAGCAACGCCGCGUGCGGGAUGACGGCCUUCGGGUUGUAAACCGCUUUCAGCAGGGACGAAGCGCAAGUGACGGUACCUGCAGAAGAAGCACCGGCUAACUACGUG
rnacentral:rRNA from 1 species